CAUUCUUAACGAGACGGACGGACAAACAAUCACACAAAACUAAUAGCAGCUAUUCUACUUUCGGGGGCAGCUAAAAAGACAUAUUUCUCUCCACAUGUGUUAAUAGCAAGACUUACAGAUUUGAUAUCAGCAUUUCAUGGAUGAAUUCAUAGUAAACGAGCGAAUUCGAAUCAGCUCCCUGUUUACCAUAUUGGCUUGAGGAGGUUGAGGAGGCCUUAGCCCUCGAGUGCGAAUGUGGACCACUUCAGAGGCCGAUUUUGAGUUUGUGUUUCCACACUAACUGUAUUUGUAACCUUGUUAUUUGAGAUGAUUAUGUCGGCUAAAUGGGUUGACUUGUCCUGGUGUUGUAUGCCAUGGAAGAAUACACAUGCCAUGGAAGAGUACACAUGUCAUGAGAUAUGAACAAGUGAUGCUAAACUGCUUGCUUUACAUUCUUGAUAGUGAUCUCUGUGACUAUGAAGAGAUGAACUGUGUAUUGUCAGAAACUUUAACAGAACUCAGAACUAUAUGGCAAGAAAUGAAGAGGUCAUGAAACAUGUCAAGUAAACGGAAAAUGCAUCAAGAAUGUCAUGUUUGUGUCGUCUUGCCCCUUGAAUUCCUAUAUUAUUUUAACACAAGUAAGUUUUGAAAGAAAAAAAUGAACUGGUUAAUUUUUUUUUUAAAUAAAGGGGGGAGGAAUGUAGAGACGCACUUUAGGUGACUGAUAGUGAACGCAAUUAUCAGACAUAAAAUCCAAAGCGAGACUGUAGCUUAGCUAGAUUAAACGGACAGUUUAGGCUAGGCUUUCAUAGAGGUAACAUCGUACGUGAUAGUAGCUGAGACUAG